GUCUUCUUGUUAUAUUUAGGAAGUCUGGCCUGCCCAGUGAAAAUUAAUUUAACGGCCGCGGUAUACUGACCGUGCAAAGGUAGCAUAAUCAUUAGUCUUUUAAUAGAGGGCUGGUAUGAAGGGUUUAACGAGGUGUUGACUGUCUCAUUUAAUUUGAAUAUUAGAAUUUAAUUUUUUAGUUAAAAAGCUAAAAUAUUAUUGGAAGACGAGAAGACCCUAUAGAGCUUUAUAUUUUUAUUAUUAAUUUAUUAUAGAUUAUUAUUAUUUAUUAUUAAUAAAAAGUAUUUUGUUGGGGUGACAAAAAUAUAUAAUCAACUUUUUUAUUUUAUUUACAUUGAUAUAUGAAUAUUAGAUCCAAUCUUAUUGAUUGUUAGAUUAAGUUACCUUAGGGAUAACAGCGUAAUCCCUCUUCAGAGUUCAUAUUUACAGAGGGGCUUGCGACCUCGAUGUUGGAUUAAGAUAAUAAUUAGGUGCAGCCGCUUAAUUAAUAGGUCUGUUCGACCUUUAAAUUCUU
rnacentral:rRNA from 1 species